UUAUAGACUAAUUGUAUUUUUUUUCCUACAAAAUGCUCUGGAAAAUUCUUACAAUAAAUUAAAAAAAAAACAAUAGCAAGGGAGAAGCUGGGAAGAAAAUUGUAUAAGGAUAUAAGCUCCAUCAUGGUAACAAAAAAUCACAUCUAGAGAAAACAAAACUGCGAGUGUGCUGGGACCCUGAAGCAAAGAGGGAGGCACCGGGGCCAUGGCAGCGUGAGAGAACAGUGGUAUGAAUGGAAGAGGCCCAGUGUCCUGGCUACAGUCUCCAAGUCCAAGCCUUUAGCCGUGGACCAGAGGGCAGCCAAGUCUUGCUUCAGUCUGGCUGUCUGGUCCAGCCUGCCCCAAAGCCCAGAGGAAGGGUUGCUGUGCCACUGAGCUUAAAGAAAAGAAGCCGUUUGGUCAGUGUGUCCAGAGGACAGUGCUUGAGAAGGUGCCAGAGAGGAAAGGGGUGGCCAGCUGGGCCAGGACACUCUGGCAGGCCCUUUGUCAGGAGCCUGGGAUUUUAUCCCAAAGUCAAGGAGGAGCCAGCGAUGCUUCUAGCUUUGCUUUCGGACAGAUUACUGCGUUAGUGGGGUCUCACUUCUUGGCAAUACCAAAGCCUCACUAACUCAGCCAUGAAAAUAAAAGCCAAGCAUAAAAUGGAGAAAAACCCGAAACUGUGAAGAACAGAGCACACAAAGAAAUUUUCAGCACCCAGAGUUAGGCAGAGUUCUUAAAUUCAUCAUAAGAAGACACAGUGGUCAAAGCACGAGUCAUGAAAAACCACACUGACUGGGCUGAAUGGUUCCGUGGAUAAAGAUACCUGCGGUCAACCCUGAAGACCAGAGAGCCAUCCCUGGAACCCACACGAUGGAAGGAGAGAACGGACUCUCGCAAGAUGUCCUCUGACCAACACAUGUUCACGGUGAAACAUGCACGUGUUAACACAGAAAACAGAUAGAUAGGUAGAUAGAUAGAUAGAUAGAUAGAUAGAUAGAUAGAUAGAUAGAUAGGACAAAAAAUUAAAAGAACAAUUUGAUAAACCAAAUCAUAAGGAUCAAGAAACUGCCAAGCAGGGGUGACACAUUCCUUUAAUUCCAGCACUCUAAAGGCAGAGGCAAGUGUGUCUCUGUGAGUUUGAGGCCAGCCUGGUCUACAGAGCAAGUUCCAGGGCAGCCAUGGCUACACAGGGAAAUCCUGUCUUGAAAAACAAACAAACAAACAAACAAACAAACAAAGAAUCAAGAAAGUUAUACUGUGAAUUAGCUUGGUGGUAGAGCACUUCCCAGCAUCCCCAAGGCCCUGAGUUUUAUCCUUAGCACUGCAAAAAUUUAAAAGCUUAUGCUCUUUAAAAGAACCACCAGCAGAGUAAAAAGGCUAACCACAGACAGGGAGAAAUAUUUGCAAAUAAUAUAUCUAAUGAAAGUCUUGGAUGAAGUCUCAAAACGCAAAAUAAAAAAAGUAGCUAAUAAAAAUUAGGCGAAAGAUUUGGACGCUUCCCUCAAGAUAAGCAGAUGGGAAACAUACACAGGAUAUCCUCAACAUUAUUUUCAGUGGAGGGGCCCAUGUUAAAACCACAGGAGGCAGGCUAGAAAGACGGCUCAGCGCGUAAGAGCACCUGUUCUCCCGAUCAAACACCUACAUACAAACACACACACACACACACACACACACACACACACACGAAGAAAAAGAAGCUCUGCCCCCAUGAUGCACCUGUCUAAAUUAAGAACACUGGCCACGCCGAGUGUGGGUGAGGAGGUGGGGCAGUAGCCGUGCUUGGAAUUUGCAGGAUAGGGGUGUGAAAUGGCACAAUCACUUUGGAAAAGAGGUUUGGUCGGUUUCAGAUCCCAUCGAAGGGGUGAUCCAGCCAUUUUCCCAGAAGUUAACCGGAGACAAGAAAGCGUGAUGAUGUGCCCUUACAAGUACAUGAUCAUUCAGAGAAGUUUUACUUGUAAAAGCCCCAAACUAGAAACUUACAGCAUAGCCGUGCCUGGGAGAAUGGAUAAGCAAUCCGUGGUACAGACACUCACAAAGGACUGCCAGCCAUCAAUGAAUGGGCAAGCUAUUCAUACAAUAUGGAUGACCUCAAACAAUUACGCUGAGAAAAGAAGCCAGACAAAACAAUAUUUCCCAGAAGCCCAAAGAACUCUGCUCUCCGCUCUCCAGUGAAUUCCUCUUUGUCUCAAAGCUCUUUCUGACUUGGUGCCUGUUGCCUGCAAUCAGAACUGUUCUGGGGAGAAAGGAUGCUACCGCUUAGAGUGUGCCGAGGACACAGCUGCAAUCUGAAUACUCAGGGAAAUGAAGAGGCAACAAGUUCCGAGGCGGCAUUUUAGAAGCUGCAUGCCACCAUUUCAGAGGCCGGAGGAGCCCAAGGCACCUGCAACAACAGCGUUGGAAAGAAAGAAAUGUCAGCACUGCGUGGCACGGCUGAGAACAGAACUCAGAGACAGAUGCAUGCUGGGCAAGCUGUUUGCCAACUGAGCCAUACCCCAGGCCUCAAUUCACUGACGUGAGCGUAAGUAAUUCAUGAGAGCGCCUUAUAUCAGACAGAAACAGGUACAGGAGAAACUGUCCCAUGUCAAGAGGGCGGCAGAGGACAAACCUGAGCCAGGAAAUGCAGACACGCAGUGUACCAUGCUUGGGAUAAACAAGCAGGCUGUCCUAGAGGCAUGUGGAUCUGGACGCUAAAGCUCCGUCACCUGGUACAGACACCAGGCAGGGCCGACACUGGUGUGGCCCGAACACUGGAGGUCACAGGGCCCACUGCGAAGCUGCAGCCCUAGAGAUGCUGACACACAGGGCAAGAUUCCAGAGGCUGGGAGAGAGGGACAAGGCGAGGCCCCAAAAUAGAUGUGGGCAGGGGGUCCUGCCAGCUCAGGCAACCCAGAAGGCCAAGUAACAGCGGCCUGGGCCCAAGGAGGCCAAGGAGUUGGCUCACCCAUGGGGAGGCUUUGGGUCUCUUUUCCAGAGCAGCCUCAGAGGACACUAAGGAACCCUGGCUAGAAGAGACAAACCAGACUCUGGCUGAGCAAGCCAGAGGGAUAAGAGAAGCUGAAUGGGGAUGCAGAGUCUUGCUGUGUAGUCAAGGCUGCCCUUUAAUCCACCUUCUUGCUUUUGCCACCAGAGUGCUGGAAUCACAAGCACCAAAACACUGGGCUCCAGAUACGUUUUUUUCUUGUUGCUGCUGGUGCCGUUUGGGUUUUGUUUGUUUGUUUGUUUGAGACAUGGUCUCACUAGCCUGGAACUCACCAUGUAGACCAGGCUAGCUUCUAACACACGAGAUUAAGUUUUCCUCUGCCUCCCAAGUGCUAGGAUUAUAGGUGUGUGCCACCACACCCGGCCAGGUAGGCAUUUUAAAGUCAAAAACUCCUAAAAAUUAGUACUUUAAAAAACAAUAAGAUUUACAUGGUUCAGAAAUUCAGAACAAAUGCCUUUCAAAAAGCCCGUCUCCUGUCCUUGCCCCUCGGUCCUCGCCAAAGAGGCAGCAGCCAGCACAGAAAGUAAGUCUCACACUGGAGAAAUCUGGAAGCUAGGAGCAGAAAAUAAAUUCAGCAACAUUUGAGGAAAGGGUGGCAUCGAGGGAGGGAGGCGGCGGAGACACCAGUGGCCUGGAGGAGCCGCCUUAACUGCAGCAGUGGGAAAUGAGUUUUGGACAAAAACAUGUGUUUCAUUGAAUGGCAAAAAAAUUGAUUUUUUUUUUUAAAUUCAUUUUCCCUCUGCCCGGGGAACAUGAGCUGGACAUCUUCUGGGACUCACCAGCAACUGGCAUCCACAGCGCUUUGCCCCACUCCGCAGCUGGAACCUGUCCUCCCCCUUGGAAGGGCCUCAGCACCUGGCAUAGAGCACGAAGCCUGGCAGCUGCAGAUAAACACUCUGUGA